rnacentral:rRNA from 1 species
GACGAACGCUGGCGGCGUGCCUAAUACAUGCAAGUAGAACGCUGAAGGAGGAGCUUGCUUCUCUGGAUGAGUUGCGAACGGGUGAGUAACGCGUAGGUAACCUGCCUGGUAGCGGGGGAUAACUAUUGGAAACGAUAGCUAAUACCGCAUAAUAUUGACUAUUGCAUGAUAGUCAGUUGAAAGGUGCAACUGCACCACUACCAGAUGGACCUGCGUUGUAUUAGCUAGUUGGUGGGGUAACGGCUCACCAAGGCGACGAUACAUAGCCGACCUGAGAGGGUGAUCGGCCACACUGGGACUGAGACACGGCCCAGACUCCUACGGGAGGCAGCAGUAGGGAAGCUUCGGCAAUGGACGGAAGUCUGACCGAGCAACGCCGCGUGAGUGAAGAAGGUUGUCGGAUCGUAAAGCUCUGUUGUAAGAGAAGAACGAGUGUGAGAGUGGAAAGCUCACACUGUGACGGUAUCUUACCAGAAAGGGACGGCUAACUACGUG